CCUACGUGAGGCAGCAGUGGGGAAUAUUGCACAAUGGGGGAAACCCUGAUGCAGCGAUGCCGCGUGAGUGAAGAAGUAUUUCGGUAUGUAAAGCUCUAUCAGCAGGGAAGAAAAUGACGGUACCUGAUUAAGAAGCCCCGGCUAACUACGAGCCAGCUGCAGCGGUAAUACGUAGGGCGCAAGCGUUAUCCGGAUUUAGUGGGUGUAAAGGGAGCUUAGACGGCAGGACAAGUCUGAAGUGAGAUGCCGAGGCUUAACCUCGGAAUUGCUUUGGAUACUGUGCAGCUAGAGUGCAGUAGGGGUAAGUGGAAUGCCUGGUGUAGCGGUGAAAUGCGUAGAGAUUAGGAAGAACACCAGUUGCGAAGGCGGCUUACUGGACUGUUACUGACGUUGAGGCUCGAAAGCGUGGGGAGCAAACAGGAUUAGAUACCCGAGUAGUC
rnacentral:rRNA from 1 species